UAGAUUGAAGCCAGUGUAUAGGGUAUUUAGCUGUUAACUAAAUUUUCGUAGGUUUGAGUCCUUCCAAUCUAG
rnacentral:tRNA from 1 species